ACGCCCUAAACGAUGUAUACUGGUUGUUGCUAUGCUAGUCAUGGCAGUAAUCCACCUAACGGAUUAAGUAUACCGCCUGGGGAGUACGGUCGCAAGAUUAAAACUCAAAGGAAUAGACGGGGACCCGCACAAGCGGUGGAGCAUGUGGUUUAAUUCGAAGAUACGCGAAGAACCUUACCCGGACUUGAUAUCUAACAAAUCAUCUAGAGAUAGAAGAGUGUCUGCUUGCAGAAAUGUUAAGACAGGUGCUGCACGGCUGUCGUCAGCUCGUGUCGUGAGAUGUUGGGUUAAGUCCCGCAACGAGCGCAACCCACGUCAUUAGUUGCUAACAGUUCGGCUGAGCACUCUAAUGAGACUGCCUUCGUAAGGAGGAGGAAGGUGUGGACGACGUCAAGUCAUCAUGGCCCUUAUGUCCGGGGCGACACACGUGCUACAAUGGCAUAUACAAUAAGACGCAAUAUCGUAAGAUGGAGCAAAUCUAAAAAAUAUGUCCCAGUUCGGAUUGGAGUCUGCAACUCGACUCCAUGAAGCCGGAAUCGCUAGUAAUCGUAGAUCAGCCAUGCUACGGUGAAUACGUUCCCGGGUCUUGUACUCACCGCCCGUCACACCAUGGGAGUUGAUUUCACUCGAAGCCGGAAUACUAAAUUAGUUACCGUCCACAGUGGAAUCAGCGACUGGGGUGAAGUCGUAACAAGGUAACCGUAGGAGAACCUGCGGUUG
rnacentral:rRNA from 1 species